rnacentral:ncRNA from 1 species
AAAUUGUCGAAUAAAUAGACUUCCCAAAUGGCGAAAAAAUGCGUAUUAUACGCGUCCCUGAGUUAGUAGGCGAUAAUGAUGCUGAACACUGAAUAAAGGUUGUGAAGUACGGUUUUACACCGUACUUUUUAUUUGGAUAUCGUUUAGGUUAAAUUUGUACUAAAAAUAAUCAAUGGAUAA